rnacentral:rRNA from 1 species
GACGAACCGUGCGAACGUUGUUCGGAAUCACUGGGCUUAAAGGGCGCGUAGGCGGGCUGACAAGUCUGGGGUGAAAUACCGCGGCUCAACCGUGGAACUGCCUUAGAUACUGUCGGCCUCGAGGGAGGUAGGGGCGUGCGGAACUGUAGGUGGAGCGGUGAAAUGCGUUGAUAUCUACAGGAACUCCGGUGGCGAAAGCGGCGCGCUGGACCUCUUCUGACGCUGAGGCGCGAAAGCUAGGGGAGCAAACGGG